AGGGGGACAUCGGAACCUACACGGUGCUGGCCGCCGACGACCCGCGCGCGGUGAACAGGACGCUGUACGUCAAGCCGCCGGCCAACACGCUGUCGCACAACGAGCUACUGGCGCUCUGGGAGAAGAAGACCGGCAAAACGUUCCAGCGGGUGCAUCUCGCCGAGGACGCCGUCCUCAAGCAGAUCCAAGGUCAGACACUCUGACUCUGACACCUUUGAUCAAUAUGAAAUAAAUUCGAUAUGUACAAUUUUUAAACCUGCAAGUUGGAUUUUCAACGUUAAAGUACGAAACCGAAUAACAUGCAGCCUCUGUCUGCUAAAACCAAACAAAUUUGGUUCCAUGGUUAGUUUCAAAAGAGUUUUUUUGUUUUUUUAAUAAUAAAAUUCUUGUUUAUGUCUAAAAAUUUAUAAUUAAUUUGUUUUAGUCUGAGAAAUACAAAAGUAGUAUAAGUUUUAUCUAAAAAAUGUUAGAUAUCUAUUGGUGCUCUAUUUAGAGUUAUUUAGAUCGUACUAGUUUUAAAUAAAUAAUAAACAUGAGUACGUACGAGCAAUAAAUCAAUAGAACUUGAAAUAAAUCAGUUCCAAAUAAUUAUAUAUAGAUCAUAAACAUGUAGAUAAUAUUUUUAGAAAGUAGUACUUAUUUUAUGUUUUAUGAUUUCAAAAUUAUUGAUGAAUUUUGAUAUAGUAGAUUAGAUUAUUAUUAUUAUUGGAAAAUAUAAAACCACCUUAAAACUAGUAAGAGGACCAAAAUUUUCUAGUUUUAACCACGGGAGGAUGUCCGUUACAUGGUUUCUUAGUUCAAGGUUGAAAAUCAGACUACCAUGCAAGUUAAAGGUUAAAAAAUGUAUUUUACCUUAAUAAAUUAUAUUCUCUCUAUUUCAAACCAUAAAUCGUACAUUUAAGUUUAUACUAAGCUAAAUUUCUUUAUCUUUAAAAAACUUAAUUUCAUAUUAUUGAAAAUAAAUACACUAUCAUAAUAUAUUUAAUUAAUAAAUCAUGUUUAUAAUGUUGUAACCGAACGUCUUGCUGGUCUUCUCACCAUAUGUAACCAAGCAACAGUCAUUUGUUGUUCCUGAUCAAUGAAUUUGGUGGGGAAGUGCUCCUCCCGCCCGUUUAUGUCAAAAAGAAAAUGUGUAUUUUUUUUAUAAACUUGAUCAAAUCUUGAGAAACUUACUGAUAACAAAAUUAAAACUAUUUAUAGUUUAGAACAGGGAGUACGUAUUUUAAUUAACUUAUGGACUUUGUCGAUCGAUAGCUUUUAAAAUCUCAGUUUUGUAAGCAUUAAAAGCAUACAUGUAAAUCUAUUUUGAAAAAUAAUUUCACAAUUCCAUACAUUCACGAGACAUUAUCCUAUAUUCUAACUACAACAUGUCAAUCACGUAUAUAUAUGUCCUACUGAUAAAUCCUCAAACAUCUAUCUAAAUACUGGUGGACACCGAUCAUUCCAUCUAUCAUCUAUGGGCCAACCCAACGAUUUUCAUCAGCAGACUGGUUCUAGCUGUGAACUGAUCACUGAACUGAUAUGAUAACUGAUAACCAAUAUACUGAACUGAUAUGAUAACUGAUAACCAAGAGGUUAACAAUUCUGCAGAACUUCCGAUCCCGCUGGACAUUCUACUGUCAAUUGGGCAUGCGGUGUACAUCAAGGGGGAACAUAAGUUCAAGAUCGACCAAUCGUCGGCGGCGGACGCCGGCGAGCUGUACCCGGACGUGAAGUACACCACGGUCGACGAUUACCUCAACAGGUUACUCUGAACGUGACCUGCAGGGGUCUCCAUCGAGUGCGCACCAAUCACCAAUUGGAAAGACAUUUGGUGGAUCUUCUAAAGAGAUCACAUUUUUGAAACCCAAGCUCAUCACUUUCUGCUUUGCAAACAAGAUCCUCACCGUAACUACAAGCAACCAUGGAGGAGGACGAUGGAUCAGGGGACUCAGGGUGUACUGUGUACACUAAGCUUCAUUCAUUUGCUUAUUCAAAUUUCUGUGACGUGCAAGUACUUGGGCGUUGCAUUGUCCACUUACAAGCUAAGACGUAGUAGUGACGACUGACGAGCAGUUCCUUAUUGAUGUCGUGGGCAGAAGGAUUCCGGGAUGGAAAGAGAACCUUCUUAAUUUGGCGGGGAGAACGACGCUCGUCAGAUCGACGUUGUUGUCUGCAAUCUCGAUACACCUAUCUAUCGUGGUUUGCCUUUCGGCUGGGUACACCUAAGUCCCCUCUUUUCUGUCAAAUCUGCAUAUGAAUUUGCGGUAAAAAAAGGGGCCAUUUGAACCACGAUGAUGCAUCCUCAUCUAAAGGAUCAACAAAGCAGUUUUCUAUGGAAAAACAUCUGGAACCAAAAGGUAGCAAAUAAAAUAAAGAUGUUCUUGUAGAGGCUGGCCCAUAAAGAAAUUUAUCCAGAAGAAGGAGGGGGGUGGUGGGGAUUUUGGACACCAUAUGCACAAUGUGCUACCGUCUUGAUGAAGAUUGUGGCCGCUAUUUCUCAAGUGCAAAAUGGUAAAGCAAGUGUGUGGAGACGACUUGGCCUGGAAGAAAGAAAAAUUCUGCUUACCAGAAGUUCAGGCCCAGAAGUUAUAGAGAGAAUCCUACCAUUCAAUGAGGAAUCUAAGCUCACAAUAAUACUUCUUUUAUGCUUUUAUGGUGUUGCUGGCAUGCUCGGAAUAAGGUGAACCAAGGAGAAAGAAGAUGUGUGAUUGAGGAAAUCUGUAACUCUGUUUAUUAUCAUCUUACGUGUAUGCACAAGCUCAAGCUUUCAGCCUCUACUCCUACAAGGCAUCAACAGGAACGAUGGUCUUAUUUUCCAAACACUAGAAAAGGGGGUUGGGGAUGUAUCAUCAGAAACCACAAAGGUGAAUGUUUGGCUGCAGGGGUUGGAGCACUUCAGGGACUUUCUAAUGCCAUGCUGAGACUCUGGCUUGUAGGAAAGCUUCGGAGCUAGCCACCUCUGUUGGAGUUGGAAUUCAAAGGAUAAUAAUUGAGUUAGAUGCCCAGAAUCUGGUUUCUGCAUUGAUGUCAGACACCUACGAUCGUGCGGAGCUUGGAGCAUGUUUUAAGGAAACUAGAUCCAAAAUAGCAUGUGAUUUUGUAUAUAUUGUAAUGUUUCAAAAUGUCCCAGAAAUUGUAAUGCUGUUUCUGACUGUCAAGCAGAUUAUGGUGCUUCUCUGAGUGAUGUUCAGUUCAAAUUAUGGAUAGACCAGGACACCAAACCUUGUAAUCCCACUUGUAUCCGGGAAUCUACCUGUUUCUGUAUGUUAAAUGGAACUUUGUUUCCAUAUAUAAAAAAAAACAAAGGAGCUCAGUGGACUUGACGUGCUCGAUCUUCGAAGAGCAGGCGCUGCCUUCAGAGUGCGCUGGGAAUAAGGAUGAAAACGGAACGGAAAUAUCCCGGACCGAACCGAACCGCUUUCUAUAUUUGAUCCGAUCGAAUUCGUAUUUUCUUGUCCGACUUUAUCGUUUUCGUUUUCGUAUUUUAGAUGUUUCGUAUUUCAAAUGUAAAAGUAGAAAACGGUUUUGAUAUUUUUCGACCGUUUUCUACUUUUCUACUUUUAAUUUGAAAUAUUUCGAAUUCAAAAUUUGGUUUAAACCGAAUUUAGUCAACUGUAGGGUCACACAGCCCAAUUACAGACUACUCACCAUGCAUCUGCGUUAUUUCUACUGGUGGCUAGUGCGUUCCUGGUAGCUAUUAAUUGCUUAUUCAAGACUUGUAUUUAUGUGUGGGCUAUUAUAUUAAAUACCUAAGACCAAUCAUGCACUUUUUAAUUAUUAUAUGCACUUAAACUUGAUCGUGUAUAUACUUAGUCAUGCACUUGGUACUACAUAUUGGUAUUUCGUAUUAGGUUUUCGUAUAUCGACCGUGUUCGACAUAAAUCCGAUCGAAUUGGUUCGUUUUCGAAAGUCUCGAUAUUUCGUAAGUUCGUGUUCGUUUUCGUGUCCGACUUUACCGUUUUCGUUUUCGUUUUCGUAUUUGAAAUGUAAAAGUAGAAAACAAUUUAAGAGUUUUUCGACCGUUUCCGACCGUUUUCAUCCUUAGCUGGGAAUGGCUCUGGCGUACUGACUCGCGUAGGACGUGGUGUGACCUGCCGUCCUCCACGGAGAAAGCUGUUCAGGCUAUUUUCCAGGCCGCUACUGAAUCGGUUGUUGGUGAUGGGAGCCUUACCUUACCUUGUUCUGAAACUGAUAGGUGGUUGCAGGGAAGAUCCAUUCAGCAGUUAGCGCCAGACAUAGGAGAAGGUCGCGUCAGCUUUGCCAUCAAGGGCUUGGGUACGUUGUCCGACAUGAACGGCGCCUUGACAUUUCCGGUGCUGCUCGAUUACAUUCUGGACCUUGUUUAGUUCACCCUGAAAACCAAAAAGUUUUCAAGAUUCUCCGUCACAUCGAAUCUUAUGACACAUGUAUAAAACAUUAAAUAUAGACGAAAACAAAAACUAAUUACACAGUUUAGCUGUAAAUCAUGAGACGAAUCUUUUAAUCCUAGUUAGUCUAUGAUUGGAUAAUAUUUGUCACAAACAAACGAAAUUACUACAGUACCGAAAACUUUUCACUUUUCGAAACUAAACAAGAUGACCGCAGGCAUGAGCUGCAAGCCUGCAACCUGGAAGGCGAUCGAGUGCUCCGCCAAGGGUGAAAUGUCAAGUCUGCAAAAUUGCGGCAACUGCUUCAUAUUCUGUGAUCAGCAAUCGGAAACACUGGACCACUUGUUGUUGGCUUGCGUGUUCAGUAAGGAGGUUUGGGUGACAGUGAUCCGACUGCUGCACCUAGAGAUGGGGUUUGUCAGCGUCCGGGAUGUGGUUGCCUGGAGUGGUGGUUGCUCUCAAGGAAGUUGAUCUAUCCCGAAAGGAUUGCAAAGAGGAUUUGAUAGCUUGUUCCUGCUGGUUGGGUGUGGAUGUUAUGGAACGUUUGGAAGGCAGAAUUCCACUUCUCGGCAGCUGCUGCACAAGAUUAUAGAGGAAGCAAAUAUUUUGGGUGCGUGCAAAGCACAUUCAGGCUCUGUUCGCUUGUCUUAUAAAUCGUAUUUUUCUAAUAGUUAGCCGUGUUUUUCUCUCAUAAUAAAUCUAUUUUUCAAUUACUAAUGGAGCCUUAGGACAUGUACAAGAGAGACAACUGCUGUCUGUAAAUUUUUAAAAUUUACAAUAUAAAAUUUACAAUAUAGACAGCUAAACAGACAGCUCAUGCAACCUACAAACAGCUCUUAUCUGUUUAGCUAUCUACCGAUCAUUCUAAUGUUUGCAUUUAGACAUGAUCAAUUAUAGAUAUCAUUUUUAUAUACUAUCGUGUGGCUAACCGAUGAAAAGCAAAUCCUUCAAAGCAAAUCAUACUCCCCACAAAUAUGAUACUAUAAUAUAUUAGUGCGAUAGUGUAUUAUACUAUAUAUAAUGUAAUAUAAUAUAUUUCAAAUAAAUCAAAUAUAACACACGUCUUCUUCCCCAUAAAUAUGAAUAACUUACAGAAUGGAAUCUUUGGUGAUAGUGAAACUUUUACUGUAAUAUCACACUAAUAUGAAUAACUUACUGUAAAUUUUGCAACAUUUAUUAAGCACAACGAUUUCAUAUAAAAAUUAACAAAAGGUUUCACAAAAUAAAACUUACAACAAACAUUCAAGGUGUAACAUAUGUUUUUAUCACUUGCAGGUUAUAGUUUUGGUCGCAGGGAACCUAACAAAGUUCGAAUCAUAAUUUUUAGAUUUAAUUUUGUUUUUAUAUGAGUUUUAUAAGUUUUAGUAGUUUUGUUUCCUUAUUGAAACAAGAGAAGAAGCUAGUAAAGCCUUUGACCCAGGAAUGUGCAGCGGAUCUGUGGUGCCGGAGUACAUACGCAGAUACACAUGCAAGCACGAGCCAAAGCCAUUCUUUACGACGGCUUGGCUCUCUCAUCGUUGGACAAAGUUCUUUUUAUAAAAUUUACCGUAUAAAGACAGCGUCCAAACCACCGUUAUACGUGCCCAUGAGUUGCAGUGCUUGGAGACGCCAUUCAGUUGAGUCAGGGUGUAUGGCUUUGGUCGCAAAAUAGAUACGUGUAAUAAAACUGCUGGGUGAGGAAGGUUUCGGUAAUUGUUGAUUCCCUACCUGUGUAAACACUUUCGUGGGAAAAACAAAUAAUCCCAACUCAUUUUUUUAAAAUCCAAAUCCACUGCCAGCUCUAUGGCUCUAUACAACUAUACGGAUAUAUUGCUGUCCGUCGCGUACUUUAGCGGUGUUUGAUACAGGUGGUUCAACUUUAGUCUAGGUCACAUUGGAUGUUUAAUACUAAUUAAUUAGGAGUAUUAAAUAUAAAUUGAUUACAAAACUAAUGUAUAAGUCGUGACUACUAACUAAUUUAUGAGACGAGUUUAUUAAACCUAAUUAAUCCAUAACUAGCGGAUGUGAUGCUACAGAAAAUAUAUGCUAAUUAUAAAUUAGUUAUAUGUUUAAUAAAUUUGUCUCAAGAAUUAGUUACGGCUUAUACAAUUACUUUUAUAAUUAUCUUAUAUUUAGUCCUUCUAAACGUCACAUUGGAUAUCAAUUAAGAGGACUAAAUACAACAUGAUGUUGGAUGUCAAUUAGAAAAACUAAAAUAGUUAUAAAACUAAUUAUAUAAGCCGUGACUAAUUCACGAGAUGAAUUUAUUAAUCAUCCUCUCUCUCUCUCGUUUUUGGGCUCGAUCAUAGUCCGUCAAGGUGGGAUGUGGGAGUUCCCGACCAAGCCAUCUCAUCGUCACCAAACUACUACCAGUACCCACUCACUCACCUGCAGCUGCAGGUAGAUCCAUGAUGUACGUGUUGCAAAUAAUUUAGCCAUUAAAAAUUAUAAGUCAUUUGAUGUGGGUUCAGAUAUGGGUUCAGUUGGAAGCAAAUUUUAUAUGUUGGUAUGUCAAAAUUGGAUAGGGUUUCAGUUAGGAGUUUGGUUGAAAUUACUCUAAAACUUUCACAUGCCGCUAAUUGGAGUGUUUAUGAUGCCAUAGCCAAUAAUUACACGUCAAUUGCCCACCAAACUCACAUGCGCCUACAAUUGUCUCUACUAUAUUCCUCGGCUCCUGAAUUAAAUCAACUUGUAGAGUUGUUCUAAUUUAGUUUUUAAGUUUAAUCAUUUUUAUAUAAAAGAGUACUAACAUCUACUCCCUUUGUCCCCUGUUAAAUGUCGUUGUAGCCUCCUGUCAGGUGCAUGCUCCUUGCUGUGAACUUGGAUGCUGCUUUGCGUCUAGAUUCCUGCUAUUUUGUCUCAACUUGGACAUGCAAAAGUAGUGCUAGAACGACGUUUAAAGUGGGAUAGAGGGAAUAUGACACUAAAAAACAAAGUACUCCCUCUGUCAAAAAACGAUGUUAAAGAAAUUUGACAUAUUAGUUGAGGAGAGAAAUGAAUCUAGUACACUCUUGUUUUGGUAGAGGAGAGAAAUGAAUCUAGUACACUCUUGUUUUGUUACAAGAAAUUUUCUUAAAAGGAAAGAUGUAAUGGUUAACCUUUUCAAUUAAAGUGUGUUGCAUAGAGGCAUGCAGAGAAAGUGCAUAUCUAAUACCAAGAGCAUCAAGUUUUUGGGAUAUUUUUUUGAACCACAACAUCAAUAUUUCUGGGGGUGAUGAGUAUAAAAUUAUAUUGCAUUUUGUAUCUAGCUAUACUAAUACGUGUUAUUCAAUAUUAGUCCUUUUUUUGCAAAGUCAAUUAAGCAUAAAUUUUUUGACUUAGAACAUCUUUAGAAAUUAAUUUAUUCUAGUAUGGAGAGAGUAUUCUACUGGUCCCAACAUAAGUAUCGUUCAUUCACCGAGGGUCAAAUAUUUUAAUAUUUAACCAAAUAUAUACAAGAAACUAUUGAUAUUUAUAAUACACAUAAUUAGUAUUAUUAGAUAUAUCAUUAAACCUAAUUUCAUAUUAAACUUAUUUAAAGAUAUAAAUGUUGUUAAUAUUUUUUAUAAAUUUAGUUAAACUUUUUUGACAAAGCCAACGGCAAGCUUUAUUUUUAAAUUUGACCGACAUGAAUAUUAUAUGGAUACUUACUUUAGAGAGAACUAUUUAAUAUGUCAUGUCCAAUAGCUGUGUGCCAUGUGUCCUUGUUGGCCCACAUACGCAGAUACCAUGGCUAGCCUGGCACGCGGUCGUGAUUUUUAUCAUUCGACUUCUAAGCAAAGGCCUUGUUCAUUCUGAAAUUCAAUUUUUUUUUUAAGAUUUUCUGUCACAUCAAAUUUUGUGGCAUAUGCAUGAAUCACUAAAUAUAGACGAAAACAAAAACUAAUUACAACGUUUGUCUGUAAUUACGAGACAAAUCCUUUAAAUCUAGUUAGUCUUUAGUUGGACAAUAAUUAUCAAAUACAAACAAAAUAUUACAGUGUCAAAAUCUAAAAUCUUUUCACAACUAAACAAGGUUAAAGUCGAAAAUGACCCACGGCCGGCCCAUCAGUUGCGCCAGACCUUUCUCACUGGAUCAUCCUAGUUAACCACAAGUGCCCUCGUGAACCUGGACACGUCGACUCAUUCGCUAGGACGUGAACACGGGCAGGUUCAUCGCGGAGCGGAGCGGACGAGCACAGCCCGCGUCCGGGUGCACUAGAGUAGCAGCACGUACCACCUCACCUACCACCCUACUAGGGUCAUCAGAUGUCCGGCCCAUGAGUAUGAUGAUGAAGUAUUAUAGGUUCAAAAAUUAUUUUGAUGGAGGGUAUUACGUUCCAAAAUUAUUUUGACGGAAUCUUAACGUCACCUACCGCCACACCCACACCACCGUGUGCAGCCGGCUAGCACAACCAGGCAGGCACGGCCGCGCGGCGCCCGCCGGUUUUCGUCAUGUCUUUGUCUUCUAGAAUUUGAGAUACUAUACCCACUUGUGAACACCUGUCAUCCAUAUGUAAACCUUUAAUAAUAAGCACUAAAAGGUUCUAGUACGUACAAAUUAGCAACACAAAAUUGAUAUUAGUAAUAAAAAAAUCAUUUUAUACCAUGUACCUCUUUCGUUUUUGAGAUGACAUAUAUUUUUUAUAGAUAAAUCUACACAUGUUUAUAUUUGUGAUUGAGAAUUGAACAAAAGUCCGCUAUAUACUGACCCUUGACAAGCUCUAGUACCAAACAAUGUUCUUGUUUGUUUGAGCUUAUCUAUCAUCUAUCGAAUCUGUCAACCAUUAAAUAAUAUUUUUUUAUAACAAAUUAGCAAACAAUAUUUUCGGCCAUGAUUUUUCAGACAAGCGAACAUGCUCGACAGACAAUACCUCUUUUCUUUUUCUAAUAUAAGUACAUGACUUUGCCCCCUUUUUUCCCAUCUGAUGACAUGUGCAUGUGCAUAUAUAAUCACCAUUUCUCCUUUUUUUUUAAAAAAAAGGAACCAUUUCUCUAAACCGAAAACUAAAUUUAAGGGAUUGCGUGUGAGAGGGGAAAAAUAUAUGUUUCGUCCAAACGCAACAUGUUGCCUGCACCAAUCGUGAAAAUAUUGGACCAAUUUCACUAUCGGCCAAUCGCCGCAACCACAGGUUGAGGUAGGCUACAGGUUGAAAAUAUUGGACCAACAGGGUAGCCACCAGUAUGGAAUGGAACCAGCUGCGCUAGGAGUAUUUUCCUUUCCCUAUAUAUAGUAGUGUUUGAUUCUCAGGUCCACAAAUCGACAACACCGAUCAACAGGCCGGCGUCCAUCCUGCAGUAUUGCCGCCGAUAACUGUUUUGACACACAAUCAGGCCGGAUAGAUGGCGUCGGAGAAGAGCAAGAUCCUGGUGGUCGGCGGCACGGGGUACCUGGGCCGGCACGUCGUGGCGGCGAGCGCGCGGCUGGGCCACCCCACCGUCGCGCUCGUCAGGGACACGGCGCCCUCCGACCCGGCCAAGGCGGCGCUGCUCCAGAGCUUCCAGGACGCCGGCGUGACGCUCGUCAAGGGCGACCUCUACGACCAGGCUAGCCUUGUCAGCGCCGUGAAGGGCGCCGACGUGGUCAUCUCCACGCUCGGGUCGCUGCAGAUCGCCGACCAGACCCGGCUCAUCGACGCCAUCAAGGAGGCCGGCAACGUCAAGGUCGUCGGUCGGCCGUGCCCUUGUUCUUGCGCUUGAUUUGCUACAUGCAUGCCGACGUCUAUCUUCAUGCGCAUGCAGAGGUUCUUCCCGUCGGAGUUCGGCCUGGACGUGGACCGCACGGGGAUCGUGGAGCCGGGCAAGUCGAUCCUCGCCGGCAAGGUGGGCAUCCGGCGCGCCACCGAGGCCGCGGGCAUCCCCUACACGUACGCCCUGGCGGGCUACUUCGCGGGGUACGCGCUCCCCAACGUCGGGCAGCUCCUGGCGCCCGGCCCGCCCACGGACAAGGCGGUGGUCCUCGGCGACGGCGACACCAAGGUGGUGUUCGUGGAGGAGGGGGACAUCGGGACGUACACGGUGCUGGCCGCCGACGACCCGCGCGCCGAGAACAAGACGCUGUACAUCAAGCCCCCCGCCAACACGCUGUCGCACAACGAGCUGCUGUCGCUGUGGGAGAAGAAGACCGGCAAGACGUUCCAGCGGGAGUACGUGCCUGAGGAAGCCGUGCUCAAGCAGAUCCAAGGUUGGUUUGGUUCUGGUUCAGUUCAUCGAUCCGUGGAUGCAUGAUCUCUAUUGCAGCUAGCUGUGAAUAACGACGGUGUCCAUGUCCAUGUGUGUGUGUGCAGAGUCGCCGAUCCCGCUGAACAUCAUCCUGGCGAUCGGGCACGCGGCGUACGUGCGGGGGGAGCAGACGGGCUUCGAGAUCGACCCGGCCAAGAGGGUGGACGCCACCGAGCUGUACCCGGACGUCAAGUACACCACCGUCGACGAGU
rnacentral:lncRNA from 1 species